GACUAUCUUAUUUGCCAUGCACAGGCCAUGUUAAAAUACAGUACUUGUACAUGGUUGCAGUACACUGGAAACAAAUGCUUUUUGUGAUUUGUCUGAAUGGAUAACCUGUUCUGCUGAGAAGAAACUAAUGCACAAGCUACCUUGCAGCUGGUGAUGAGACCUCAAUAGCUAAACAGAAGCACCAAGGUUUGGCAACAGUAAUGCUUCAUAGUUGCAGCAUGUUCUUACACAGCACAGGAGACUCACUCAGCAUUCCUGAGGUGCUGCCAGAGGCUGCAGUCAAACAAGGAAAUUACAAAAUUUCAAGGAAUUUAAGAGAAUCUGGGAGGAUGAUAGUCACUGGUAGAAUGGCAGGGACUGUAUUAGAGGAAAAAUAAUGGAGAUCAGCUGUGCUUAGAAGAACUACAUAAAGAAAAUGAAGCCAUUGGCCUGAACCACUGAUUGAUCACCUGAGGAAAGGACUGAGUCAGUUGGGAGCACAGGUGAAGGUAAUUCAGCUGUGAAUUCACCUAGACCCCCGCAUUUAAGGGCUGACUGCCACAAGGGAACGGUCUCUUUCUGGACGUCUCUUCUCUGUGGAGUCUUUCUUGCAAAUCUGGAUCUUUGGAUAUAGGGAUUAUUCUAGCAACUCCUGAAAUGCAAAACCUUCUGUGGCAAGAGAGAAGAGGCAAUCUUCUGACUACUGCUCUGACCUGACGGACAUGCUCUCUCCAAGUAUGGCUUCAUUCAGGUAGUAAGACCAAGAACUGCAUUAAAAAAACAGGAAGAUUGGCCCUAGGCAGACAGUAAAAGCCUGAUUUGGAAAGCUAUUGUCUGGAGAUUGUAUUUGCAUAACAGCAAAUAGAGUCAACCUACAUUGUGCAGUGUUGAGGGAAAAAUAACCUUCGGAGAAAAGGAAGGCAAUUUGCCCUGCAAUGAGUCAUCAGCUCUGCUGUGCCGAAGGAAGAAGACAUUUUUGAGGAAAGGCUGCUGGCAUAUAUCUACUGUAGAGGAGAAGAAACAUAUAGUGUGAGAAUGGUCAUACCAGGAGAACUGUCAAAGAAUUGGAUAUAUGCUCUACUUUUCUGUUCCUAAGAAGCUGAUCCCUGGGAAAAAACAGUGGUGAAGAUAUUCAGAAAACCAUCAUGAUUCUCUGCAAGAUCCUUUGAGGAACUCCACUACAAGAAAACAAAAAUGGUGUGCUCUUGAGAGGGUUGCAUUUUCCCAUCUGUGAUUAAAAAUACAUAUAACGAAGAAACUGUAGCUUUACUAUAAGUGCAAAGAAAACAGAACCAGAAGUUGUGCUUUAUAGGAAGCAGAGAGAUGCUGCAAUGUUUAAGACUUGAAUUACUGCAGACCAGCUAAGAUACCAAUCUUCCUGAUUAAAGACUAAAAUGCCUUUCUUUCUUGCCAUUCUCACAAUGGAGAAUCAUGAAGCUGCCUUUACUUGCUGAGUAACUCAGAGAAUGCCAACAUUUAGUCCAAGAAGACUAAAUCCACAGUGAUCCUCCCUAGAAGAGCCUUGGGAAGGCCCUGGAGAGAGCCAGGAUCCUGCAGAAUGUGUAAGGAGAGGUCUCUGACGUCUUCACUUUGCCUGACUGCUCUACUGACAGAACGCACGUUUUUCAAGCGAAAGAUUCCUGUGGAGGAGUAAAACAGCCUGAAGGUACCACUUAUGAUGUAAAAGAGUGUUCUCCGUGACCUUAGCGAACCUAUGAACUGACCAAGAAAGCUUCUUUUUAUAAAAUGGAGAGGAUAGGAGGGAAAUAUUGAGAAAGCAUGUGCAAGCAACCUCGAGGAACGAAUUUGUGAAUUUAAAGCAUCAUUCAGCUUAUCAGCCUCUGCUUCAGUUACUGUGACAUCAUUUAUCAAGGUCCUCUCGGGGAUUUGAAAUUAAUGCGGAGGCUAAAAGUUCCCAGACUUCAUAUUGCGCAAUGGUGGUGUUCUUUGGAGAAGAGAUCAGCUACCCUGCUUCCAGCCUUUUCCCCAUAGCAUGAUCUGAAGUGGGACAGAAGCAUCAGAAGUACAGUGCAGAGAUAAAAAGAGUAAUUUGUUUCCUGGGAGAUGUCACUGUUGUCAUGAGAGACAUGAGAUGUCAUCCUUCUAGAACAGUAGAAAUGCGAAAUCAUGACUUGAAACAAUAAUUGAGCUCCUGAUGGGAAGGCAGGACCAACCAAGGGGAGUUCAGGUGCAUGCAAUUCACCUGAGUGAUUGCACCUGCUAGAGCCAGGAUCCAUUCCUUCCCAGACCUCAUUUAAGGGCUGGCAGUGGAGGAAAGGGUAUCUGGCUGGAGAUUCCUGUCUACUGGAGGUCCUCUAAAGAUCAGGCUUAACGCUGCAUCUGAAUUAAAGCAAUCUUCAUUUUUAUGAAGCUUUUGAAUUCUUUGGAAGUAGAUGGAUUUAUAAAUCCAGAGCUGGAACAAAAUUAAUUGUGAACCUUAAAAGAGAGACUAUACUUCCAAAACAUGAGGUUACCAAGUGGUUCCUGUUACCAAGUGCUUGGUUGCCAAUCAAAUCAUCGCCUUCUAGUUAUUGCACAUUUGGAAGACAGUUUACUUAGGCUAUUUAUUAAGGAAAUACAGCACCCCACUUAGUACCUGUAAACGCAGGGGAAAACAUCCUUAAGAAACCUUGAAAACUGCAGCCUUCCUGCUGAGACAUGGUUUGACAUUGAGUUCAAGAACAGCAGACAGAUCUUCUGGACUAUUUUCAAACUAAGCUGAGGAAAACGAAAAUAAGAACACAAAAAGAAAGAACCAAAUGCAUUUAAGUUGUAUAAUUGAUUUUUAUAAGAAUUUGCUCAUUUCAACUGUGUUAAAAUAGAGUUCUUCUCUGUUCAUGUAUGAGCUCUUCCCCGAACAUUGUUACUUUACUCUGGAGUGGCCUAAAGAAAAUAAAGUGUAUAAUGGCCUA